GUCAGUAACCCAGCCCUAAAUGGACUGGGCUUGUAAGAGAAAUCAAGCAAGCCGUACUGACCUGUCCAACCUGAGCGGCUUGCCCUGACUUGUGCCGAGCGAAGUCGAGGUAGCGAAGUCGAAGGGAGUCGAAGGGUAGCCGUUAUUUGAGUCACGACACCGCGGAAUGCGUUCGCGCCAGCCUGCCGUAGGCAUAGCUAGUUCCCUGCGCUGUCAUUUGCAACUAAACAGUUUUAAGGUCAGUGAAACAGUGUUGCAAGUCUAAAAAGCUCUUAUAACAGGUCGUUCGCGCAGCGUGCCGUAGCAUCAGCUAACAUUAC
rfam:Aphanizomenon flos-aquae 2012/KM/D3 spades_6_len_New_1:59835, whole genome shotgun sequence.